ACACCAUGGAGCCCAGAGGCACAGCGGCAGCUCGGGGGAACCCCAACAAUCCAGCCAGAGGAAUGAGCCACCAGUCCAGCCACAUGGACUGGGAGUGAGACCCACCACAAUGAGCCAACAGGAGAGGCUUUCUAGAGCACCUUGCAGACUGAGGGUGGAUACAGCCUGGAGGUAUGGGACUUCAUAUGGGAUGGAGGGAAGAGCAUCUUGGGAUUGUAUGGGCAUUGUACAAAGGCUUUUUAUGGGAUGUUUAGGGAAAGAACCAAAGGUGGGAAAAGGGGGAUCAAGGUGGUUUGGGGAAGAAAAAGAGUGGGAAAAGAGAGGAAUAAGGGGAUAAAAGAGGCUGGUUACAUGUGAACGAGCUGGUCACAGCUGACCAUGCCCUGAGCCUGAUUAGUGCAGUCUUUCCUGUCUUCCCAUUGAACUAAAUUUCUAACUUUUCCUGGGUGCAGGGCUUUCUCUGUGUGCAUAUAUAUGCGUGGAGGUCUACCUGCCAGCAGCUGGAGUUGGACCACAGAUGACAGGGGCUGUGAGCUCAGGGUGCCAGCAAUUGGAGAGACUGGAGUGCAUCUUAUGUGGGCUUAGCCCACAUUUUAUCUGGGAUACAGUGGCUGGUACAGACUGUGGCUGUCUACAGGGGAGUUUCCAGUUGAGGCACUCGAUGAUGGUAUGUCUGGAAUCUCUCCGCUCCCUCUGCACAGUGAAUGCCAGAGCUCUCAAGCACUGCCGUCCCACCGCUCCGGGGACCAUCUCGUGGAGGCAAUCAUCGAUCGCACCUUCCUCCUCUUCUCCCCGGGGGACAGGUCUUCCCUGCCACACUGCAGCAGACCCCCGGCUUCUCAAGCCCCCUCUGUGAGGCCGAGGGAUGUGCCCAGGGGCAGCUGAUUCCUGGGUGGGAAGGGGUGCGGGAGGCCCUGGGCAGGUGCCGGUGGCGGUUCUCACCCCCGACGGUGACGGAUUUUGUGCCCGAAGAGGCGCGGAGGCCUGCCAAGGUGGUGGAGGCCGGUUGUCUUGUCUACGGCGAGAAGAGACGGCAGCUCCUGGCGCUGUGAUGAUGGGGCCUGGCCUACCCGGCCUUCCUCCAGCAACCUCACAGGGGCAAGCUGGCCUCUGCGUCCCAGGACAUGCAAACGGGCAUGGCAGCUGAAGUAGAGAGCCAGUCAAUGGCUACCACAGGGACCUGGCUGUCGGCUACCUCGGAGAAGCAGAGGUCCACCCCGUUGGUGAGGGAGGAGGAGGAGGAAGAGGGAGCGGGGCAGCCCCGGGGGGUGAGAGGAGGCAGGCGGGAGGCGGAAAGAAUUCACCCACCAGCCAGGUGAGUGGCUCGCCGUCU
rnacentral:lncRNA from 1 species